rnacentral:rRNA from 1 species
AAUAUUGGACAAUGGGCGCAAGCCUGAUCCAGCCAUGCCGCGUGAGUGAAGAAGGCCCUAGGGUUGUAAAGCUCUUUCAGCGGGGAAGAUAAUGACGGUACCCGCAGAAGAAGCCCCGGCUAACUUCGUGCCAGCAGCCGCGGUAAUACGAAGGGGGCUAGCGUUGUUCGGAUUUACUGGGCGUAAAGCGCGCGUAGGCGGGUCGUUAAGUCAGGGGUGAAAUGCCGAGGCUCAACCUCGGAACUGCCUUUGAUACUGGCGACCUGGAGUUCGGGAGAGGUGAGUGGAAUUCCGAGUGUAGAGGUGAAAUUCGUAGAUAUUCGGAGGAACACCAGAAGCGAAGGCGGCUCACUGGCCCGAUACUGACGCUGAGGCGCGAAAGCGUGGGGAGCAAAC